rnacentral:rRNA from 1 species
UUCGCAAUGCCCGAAAGGGUGACGAAGCGACGCCGCGUGGGUGAAGAAGGCCUUCGGGUUGUAAAGCCCUGUCAGGAGUUAUGAAAUGUAAGUGCGCUAAUGUCGUGCUUAUUUGACAAAGGCUCCAAAGGAAGCCACGGCUAACUCUGUGCCAGCAGCCGCGGUAAUACAGAGGUGGCGAGCGUUGUUCGGAAUUAUUGGGCGUAAAGAGCACGUAGGUGGGUUUGUAAGUCAGAUGUGAAAGCCUUCUGUUCAACGGAAGAAUUGCAUCUGAAACUGCGAAUCUUGAGUAUAGGAGGGGAGAAUGGAACUUCUGGUGGAGCGGUGAAAUGCGUAGAUAUCAGAAGGAACGCCGGCGGCGAAAGCGAUUCUCUGGCCUAUUACUGACACUCAGUGUGCGAAAGCUAGGGGAGCAAACGGGAUUAGAUACCCCGGUAGUCCUAGCCGUAAACGAUGGGCACUAAGUAGAGGGGUUUU